UACGGGGGGGGCAAGCGUUGUUCGGAAUUACUGGGCGUAAAGGGCGCGUAGGCGGCCUGUUAAGUCGAACGUGAAAUCCCCGGGCUCAACCCGGGAACUGCGUCCGAUACUGGCAGGCUUGAAUCCGGGAGAGGGAUGCGGAAUUCCAGGUGUAGCGGUGAAAUGCGUAGAUAUCUGGAGGAACACCGGUGGCGAAGGCGGCAUCCUGGACCGGCAUUGACGCUGAGGCGCGAAAGCCAGGGGAGCAAACGGG
rnacentral:rRNA from 1 species